UGGGGAAUAUUGCACAAUGGGCGCAAGCCUGAUGCAGCCAUGCCGCGUGUAUGAAGAAGGCCUUCGGGUUGUAAAGUACUUUCAGUCGGGAGGAAGGUGUCAAGGUUAAUAACCUUUGCGCAUUGACGUUACCCGCAGAAGAAGCACGGGCUAACUCCGUGCCAGCAGCCGCGGUAAUACGGAGGGUGCAAGCGUUAAUCGGAAUUACUGGGCGUAAAGCGCACGCAGGCGGUUUGUUAAGUCAGAUGUGAAAUCCCCGGGCUCAACCUGGGAACUGCAUCUGAUACUGGCAAGCUUGAGUCUCGUAGAGGGGGGUAGAAUUCCAGGUGUAGCGGUGAAAUGCGUAGCGAUCUGGAGGAAUACCGGUGGCGAAGGCGGCCCCCUGGACGAAGACUGACGCUCAGGUGCGAAAGCGUGGGGAGCAAACAGG
rnacentral:rRNA from 1 species